rnacentral:rRNA from 1 species
CGCGGCCUAUCAGCUUGUUGGUGGGGUAAUGGCCCACCAAGGCUUCGACGGGUAGCCGGCCUGAGAGGGUGACCGGCCACACUGGGACUGAGACACGGCCCAGACUCCUACGGGAGGCAGCAGUGGGGAAUAUUGGACAAUGGGCGAAAGCCUGAUCCAGCAACGCCGCGUGAGGGAUGACGGCCUUCGGGUUGUAAACCUCUUUCAGCAGGGACGAAGCGAAAGUGACGGUACCUGCAGAAGAAGCACCGGCCAACUACGUGCCAGCAGCCGCGGUAAUACGUAGGGUGCGAGCGUUGUCCGGAAUUAUUGGGCGUAAAGGGCUCGUAGGCGGUCUGUCACGUCGGGAGUGAAAACUCAGGGCUUAACCCUGAGCCUGCUUCCGAUACGGGCAGACUAGAGGUAUGCAGGGGAGAAUGGAAUUCCUGGUGUAGCGGUGAAAUGCGCAGAUAUCAGGAGGAACACCGGUGGCGAAGGCGGUUCUCUGGGCAUUACCUGACGCUGAGGAGCGAAAGUGUGGGGAGCGAACAGGAUUAGAUACCCUGGUAGUCCACACCGUAAACGUUGGGCGCUAGGUGUGGGGCUCAUUCCACGAGUUCCGUGCCGCAGCUAACGCAUUAAGCGCCCCGCCUGGGGAGUACGG